CGUGCCUACGGGAGGCAGCAGUAGGGAAUCUUCCACAAUGGACGAAAGUCUGAUGGAGCAACGCCGCGUGAGUGAAGAAGGGUUUCGGCUCGUAAAGCUCUGUUGGUAGUGAAGAAAGAUAGAGGUAGUAACUGGCCUUUAUUUGACGGUAAUUACUUAGAAAGUCACGGCUAACUACGUGCCAGCAGCCGCGGUAAUACGUAGGUGGCAAGCGUUGUCCGGAUUUAUUGGGCGUAAAACGAGGGCAGGCGGGUUAAUA
rnacentral:rRNA from 1 species